GGAGUCUGGACCGUCUCUCAGUUCCAAUGUGACCGUUCAUCCUCUCAGACCGGUUACCGAUCGUCGACUUGGUAAGCCUUUACCCCACCAACUAUCUAAUCGGACGCAAACCCCUCUUUAAGCGAUAAAUCUUUAACGUAAUACUCAUGCGACUACUACGCAACAUUCGGUAUUAGCAACCCUUUCGAGUUGUUGUCCCCAUCUUAAAGGCAGGUUAUUUGCGCUUUACUCACCCGUUCGCCACUAGGACCGAAGUCCCCGUUCGACUUGCAUGUGUUAAGCACGCCGCCAGCGUUCGUCCUCGAGCCAGGAGUCAAACUCU
rnacentral:rRNA from 1 species